CGGGCGACGCUUAUAUGUGCGCCCUUCCCCCCUCCCCUCGAUUUCUUCUGCGCCAGGGGAAACCUAACGAACGACGACGAAUUGGUGGAUUUCGAUCAGGAGUGAGAGCUCGAGGAAGGGGUUGGGCACCACUUCGCACCAUCUCUGUGGUUUCCUUGAGAGAUCCCCGUUUCUUUUCGUACCGGAGACUCUAUUUAUAUAUAUAAAACAUGAGCGUCGUGGGAUUUGAUGUCGGGAACGAGAGCUGCAUCGUUGCGGUGGCUCGGCAACGCGGCAUCGAUGUGGUUCUUAACGACGAAUCGAAGCGUGAGACCCCUGCCAUCGUCUGCUUCGGCGAGAAGCAGCGGUUUAUUGGGACUGCCGGCGCCGCAUCGUCGACGAUGAACCCCAAGAAUUCGGUCUCGCAAAUCAAGCGCCUAAUUGGUCGGAAAUUUUCAGAUCCAGAGGUACAGAAGGAUAUCCAGUCUUUUCCCUUCAGGGUAACCGAAGGGCCUGAUGGGUUUGCGCUGAUCCAUGCAAACUACCUUGGGGAGCAGAGGGCGUUCACUCCGACGCAAAUUCUUGCUAUGGUUCUCUCUAACCUGAAGAGCAUUGCUGAGAAGAAUCUAAAUGCAGCAGUGGUCGACUGCUGCAUUGGAAUUCCGGUUUACUUCAAUGAUCUCCAGAGAAGGGCGGUGAUGGAUGCUGCUACCAUCGCUGGUCUGCACCCUCUCCGCUUGUUUCAUGAGACUACUGCUACUGCAUUGGCAUAUGGAAUCUAUAAGACGGACCUGCCAGAGAAUGACCAGCUUAAUGUAGCUUUUGUCGAUGUGGGUCAUGCAAGCAUGCAGGUGUGCGUCGCUGGUUACAAGAAGGGACAAUUGAAGAUCUUGGCACAUGCUUAUGAUCAGUCUCUUGGUGGUAGAGAUUUUGAUGAAGUGCUCUUCAGUUACUUUGCUGCCAAGUUCAAGGAUGAGUAUAAAAUUAAUGUGUAUCAGAAUGCCCGGGCCUGUCUCAGGCUCCGCACGGCCUGUGAGAAGCUGAAGAAGGUUCUCAGUGCAAAUCCAGAGGCUCCACUGAACAUUGAGUGCUUGAUGGAUGAGACUGAUGUGAGAGGCUUCAUUAAAAGAGAUGAGUUUGAGAAGAUCAGCAUCCCCAUUUUAGAACGAGUAAGGGGACCUUUAGAGAAGGCUCUUUCAGAGUCUGGGCUGAGCGUGGAGAAUAUUCACACAGUUGAAGUUGUUGGGUCAGGGUCCCGUGUUCCAGCUAUUAUCAAGAUUUUGACAGAGUUCUUCGGGAAAGAGCCUAGGCGUACCAUGAAUGCAAGUGAAUGUGUUGCUCGGGGCUCUGCCCUCCAGUGUGCUAUUCUGAGUCCCACAUUCAAAGUGCGGGAAUUUCAGGUUCAUGAGAGCUUCCCUUUCCCAAUAGCCUUAUCAUGGAAAGGAUCUGGCACUGACUCUCAGAAUGGUGGAACAGAAAAACAACAGAGUACAGUUGUGUUUCCAAAAGGGAACCCACUUCCCAGUGUCAAGGCUAUUACAUUCUUUAGAUCUAGUACAAUCACUGUUGAUGCUGUGUACACUGACUCAUCUGAUGUGCAAGUUCCAGCCAAGAUCAGCACUUACACGAUUGGACCUUUCCUGUCCAGCAAAGGAGAGAAGGCUAAGCUGAAAGUAAAAGUUCAUUUAAAUCUCCAUGGAAUUGUUUCCAUUGAGUCAGCUACUAUGUUGGAGGAGGAAGAAGUUGAAGUUCCAGUCUCAGCUGCAGUGGAGCCACCGAAGGAAUCUACAAAAAUGGACAUGGACGAACUCACUAACGACGUCUCAAAAACUGAAACUGAUGUAAAAAUGGAGGACUUGAAGAAUGCAGCUAAUAAUUCUUCUGGUGAGGUUGACACUGCAGUACCGGAGUCUGAUGAGAAACCUGCACAGAUGGAAACUGAUAACAAGGUUGAAGCACCCAGAAAGAAGGUAAAGAAAACUAAUGUACCUGUGGUGGAAUUGGUUUAUGGUGGGAUGUCGGCUGAAGAUUUGCAAAAGGCUGUUGAAAAGGAGUUUGAAAUGGCCCUUCAAGAUCGAGUGAUGGAGGAGACCAAAGAGAAGAAAAAUGCUGUCGAGGCAUAUGUCUAUGACAUUCGAAACAAACUUUAUGAUAAGUAUCAGGAAUUCGUAAUGCCAUCAGAGAAAGAUGAACUUAUUGCAAAGCUCCAGGAAGUUGAGGAUUGGUUGUAUGAGGAAGGCGAAGAUGAAACGAAGGGUGUUUAUGUUGCCAAGCUUGAGGAGCUUCAAAAGCAAGGUAACCCAAUUGAGGUGCGUUAUAAGGAGUGGACAGAGAGAGGUCCUGCAAUUAAUCAACUUGUUUAUUGCAUCCAUAGUUUCAGAGAAGCAGCCUUGUCGAAAGAUCCUAAGUUUGAUCACAUUGAAGUAGCAGAGAAGCAGAAGGUUGUCAGUGAGUGUAGCGAAUCUGAAGCAUGGCUUAGGGAGAAACAGCAGCAGCAGGAUGCCUUACCCAAAUAUGCCACUCCGGUUCUUCUCUCUGCGGAUAUAAAGAGAAAGGUCGAGGCACUAGACAGGUUUUGUAAACCAAUAAUGACAAAGCCGCGACCUGUUCCAGCAAAACCGCAGACCCCACCAACUGCUGCACCCGGAGAGCAAUCUCAAGCUCAUGAAGGAGAGAAUGCAUCAGGGGAGCCCAUGGCCGAUGAGGACAGUCAUGCACCGCCUCAACCAGCCCCAGAGCCAAUGGACACCGACAAAUCGGAGACUGUACCUUCAGCAUAGAAACAUUGGCUCAGCGGGAACAGCCUCUGCUCCUCAUCUGUUAGUCCUGUGGCGUCAUGUCAUCACCACCAUAUUGCUAUCAGGAUGAAAAUGCCUCUAUAUCUUUCACUAAAUGCCUCCGACAGGUGAGAAGAAGAGGAAAGAAAGGAAAUAAGAAGAGAGAAGAUGGGGAUUAUAAAUUAUUAAAAAUUUACUUUUUCUAAUCUAUACUAUUGGCAAGAAAAACCGUUUGGUGUAGCGACUUAUGGCGGACACGACGUGUUUGACACGUGAUUAUCACGUGCGAGAUAAAGGCAUGGACCUUUUUUUGAGUUCGGACACAGAUUCUUUUAAGACGAUAAAUGCUACGGACACUCACAACAGAGCCCCACCACGAUACCCGGAAUAUCCUGACCCUCCAUCACAUGCUGGCCUUAUCAUCACCGUACUUUCUUGUGUUCGCUUUUCUCUGCGCCCGGGUAUUCGGUCUGGGUUUUGUCUUGGCCUUGACUAACGUACUGCUCGAACUCAACCCCGUGUCCCCUCGAUGCCUCAACCCCAUCACCCCUUCCAUCGCCCCGCAGCUUCGGUCUCGAUGUCUCGGGUCGAAGACGCUCCGCCCAAUCCCCAAUUCCUCUCCUCCUUGCCUCCUUCUCUUUCUGUUCCCAGCUUCUCCGGUUAGCUCGUUGAUUCCCAGGAGCUGGUCCGAGCUUGUUGUUAGAUUGGACAGGUCCGUUGCUCGGCAUUGUUGGGGUUUGACCUCUCUGCCUCUUGCUUGCUUCUUGAUUUGGAGCGAAAGGUAUCUACUCUGUGGAUGACAAGAGCUUG